AGUGAACGCUGGCGGUAGGCCUAACACAUGCAAGUCGAACGGCAGCACAGUAAGAGCUUGCUCUUACGGGUGGCGAGUGUCGGACGGGUGAGGAAUACAUCGGAAUCUACUUUUUCGUGGGGGAUAACGUAGGGAAACUUACGCUAAUACCGCAUACGACCUACGGGUGAAAGCAGGUGAUCUUCGGACCUUGCGCGAUUGAAUGAGCCGAUGUCGGAUUAGCUAGUUGGCGGGGUAAAGGCCCACCAAGGCGACGAUCCGUAGCUGGUCUGAGAGGAUGAUCAGCCACACUGGAACUGAGACACGGUCCAGACUCCUACGGGAGGCAGCAGUGGGGAAUAUUGGACAAUGGGCGCAAGCCUGAUCCAGCCAUACCGCGUGGGUGAAGAAGGCCUUCGGGUUGUAAAGCCCUUUUGUUGGGAAAGAAAAGCAGCAGGUUAAUACCCCGCUGUUCUGACGGUACCAAAAGAAUAAGCACCGGCUAACUUCGUG
rnacentral:rRNA from 1 species